GGGGCAGUAGCGCAGCUGGGAGCGCGUCUGCAUGGCAUGCAGAAGGUCGCGGGUUCGAUCCCCGCCUGCUCCACCA
rnacentral:tRNA from 1 species